UUGACUUCUAGAAAUUUUUUAGAAGCAAUAAGCUCUUGAUUAGAAAAAAUCACUUAUAGUUAGUCUAAAACAUAUGUCCGUGUUCUUUUAUUUUAGUUGACAAAGUAAUGGACAAAUGGUGGACUAGUUUACCAAGACAUAUUGAGGGUUACCAACAUGGUGUUAAUUCAUUUGGAUUUUGCCUUUCCUAAAGGUAGACCACAAGGAUAAGAAAUUCUUUGUCCUUGUUCUAUAUGUAAUAACUUUAGUUUUAGGGGCGAAGGGAUGAAGUUUAUGAUCAUUUAAUAAGUAAGGGAUUUCAAAAAGGUUACACUGUGUGGGUUCAUCACGGCGAAAGGAUAAGUCACAUAAAUAGUGAAUCCGAUGAGAGUGAAGUCCAUGAAGGAUUUAUCGACGACAUUCAUGGGCUGCUAAACGAGACGUUUCGGCAUGUGCUUGAAGGAGAUAAAGAUAGUGAUGGGCCAAACGAAGAUGCAAAAAAGUUUUGUAACUUGCUUGAAGAAGGAAAACAAGAGUUAUAUCCUGGCUGUAAAAAUUUUUUGACAUUAUCAUUCGUUAUCCGAUUGUAUUUGUUGAAGACUCUUAAUGGUUAGAGCAACGCAUCCUUUACUGCUCUACUUGAAUUACUGAAAGAAGCGAUUCCUCAUUUGAAUAUUCCUGAUUCUUUCAAUAAAAUCAAGGCCAUGGUAAAAGAUUUAGGACUUGGUUAUAAUAAAAUUCAUGCUUGUCCCAACGAUUGUGUUCUGUUCCGGGAUACAUAUGAAGAUGAUGAAUUUUGUUCAAUUUGUGGAGCUUCCAGGUACAUAGAAAAUGUUGAGGUAGAUAUAAAAGUUGAUAAGUUGAAGAAAAAACCUGUGCCUGCGAAGGUUUUAAGGCAUUUUCCCUUGAUUCCAAGGCUUAAGAAGCUAUUCCUGUGUUCCAAAACAGCUGAAUCAUUAAGGUGGCACAAUGAAUAUCGUUCAAAGGAUGGAAAGUUAAGACACCCAGCUGAUGGCCAAUCAUGGAAAGACUUUGACAGGCUUCAUCCCGAUUUUGCUAAAGAAUCUCGUAACAUAAGAUUAGGGUUAGCUAGCGAUGGAUUUAAUCUAUUUAGAACCAUGAGCAUCUCCCAUAGUACAUGGCCGGUAGUUUUGGUCGCAUAUAAUCUUCCUCCGUGGUGUUGCAUGAAAUCAGAGUAUGUCAUGAUGUCCUUGCUCAUCCCUGGAUCAUGUUCGCCUGGAAAAAGCAUUGAUGUGUAUCUUCAGCCAUUAAUUGAAGAGUUGAAGGUUUUAUCGGAAGUUGGAGUGGAAAAAUAUGAUGCUUCAAAGAAUCAAACUUUUCAACUACAUGCAGCAGUUUUAUGGAACAUAAGUGACUUUCCAGCUUAUGCUAUGUUAUCCGGUUGGAGCACAAAGGAAAAGUUAGCAUGUCCUUGCUGUAAUUAUGACACCUCCUCUUGUUAUUUAAAACAUAGCCGGAAGAUGUGCUACAUGGAUCACCAUAAAUUUUUGGCUAUGGAUCAUCCAUAUAGGAUGGACAAAAGAUCUUUCAAUGGCGAUGUUGAAUUGAGGUCUUCCCCAGCUUUAUUAGAUGGGGAACAAAUUUUUGAAGAUUUGAAAGAUUUUGACAAUGUAUUUGGAAAGAAGCAAAAAAAUAAAAUUGAUGGUCCAUGGAAGAAAAGGUCCAUUUUCUUUGAGUUGCCAUAUUGGAAGCAAAAUACAUUGCGCCAUUGUCUUGAUGUUAUGCAUAUCGAGAAAAACAUAUGUGAUAACAUAAUUGGAACUUUAUUAGACGUUCCAGGAAAGUCCAAAGAUCAUGCAAAUGCUCGUUACGAUCUCAAAGAUAUGGGCAUAAGAAAAAAACUUCAACCAAAGGAGAUAGAUGGUGGCAAGAAAGCAAAAACUACUAAGGCUUGUUUUAACCUUACUAAUCAAGAAAAAACAAUUUUUUGUGAUAUUUUGAAGUUAGUAAAAUUGCCAUCUGGUAGUGCCUCAAAUAUUUCUCGGUGUGUUCAUGUUGUUGAGAAAAAGAUAUCAGGCUACAAAAGUCAUGAUGCUCAUUUUAUGUUGCAUUAUUUGUUGCAAGUAGCUAAUAAAAUACACAAUACAGAAUCAAGUAGCUGGCCCUUUAAUUUAUCUAGGUUCAUUCUUUCGUUUCUUGUGCCAAAAAGUUGUUGAAAAUGAUACAAUAGAUCAUUUGGAAGUAUUUAGGUUGACCUUUUUGGUUGCUGCUGAUGCCUGAAAUGAACGGUUUCAAAUUGUAUAGUGCGUGCUGUUUUAUCCUUGUUAAUGGCUUAUUAUGCUAAUUUUUAUAUUGCUGCUGAUUGCCAUUUUUGCUUGCUGCCAUUUAAUUCAUAUAAAUUGAGCUUGAUCAGUGCUGAUUUGGUUUUAGUAAGUUCAUAUGGGUUGAUUUUGCUGUUUGUACUGAUUUGGUUUUAGUGAGUUCAUAUGGGUUAAUUUGUUAAAUUCAGAAAUGUCAUAUUUAAUGCCAGAAUGCUGCCGAAAUUUCUAAUAAUUUGUGUUAAUUGAAUUCCAAUUUGUGAAUUGAAUUUGGUAAUUUCUAGAAAUGUCAUAUAUAAUUAGUAUUUUUGUAUAGAGACAACAGUGAAGAAAACACGAGGACUUACACAAUGCUUGAAGAUUCAUGCAAGACAGCUGAAAGAUAGAGAAGAAAUUACUCUAGAUAGUGAAGGAGAGGCAAUUGGUCCAACUGAUGAAGUUGUAAACAACUUGAGCAAAUUUUUUGGCACAGUGGCAAGGAAUUCAUAUUUUUGUCCAUUAAUUUACACAAAUUGAAAGGGAAUUAAAGAUAAAGAAGCCAUUUGGGAAUAUGUUCAAGCUAAAUUCAUUAUUCCAACUGAAGGAAAGGGGAUGGUCCUUGCUCGUAUCAAUGACAACUGGAGAAGGUAUAAGACUACAAUAAAGCAAACUCAUUUUCUGCCAUACAAAUGUGUUAAUGAGAUGCUGAAAAAUCGUCCUAAAAGCAUACUUGAGAGUCAUUUUCGCAAGUUAAUUGCUUAUUGGAGAACUGAGAAAAUUAAGAAAAUGUCUGCGCAUAAUAAGAAAAAUAUGGCACAACAGAAAUUUAGGCAUCGAAAGGGACCAAUAAAUUUUGCAAGCAUACGUGCAAGAUUGGCUGCUUCUAAGGAAAAUAAUGAACCACCUACUCAAGCAGAAAUGUUUGUUGAGACUCGCCAAAGCACAAAGGGAAAAUCAUUGGAUGAAGACACUCUGGAUGUUAUCGCACAUUUGCAAGCUGAGAAUAAAAAGUCUAAAGAAUCAGUAAUUAGAGCUUUCCAAUCCAUAUUUGGGAAAGAGAAGGCAGGGAGAGUGCGAUGUCACGGAAGAGUUACCACACCAACUUUGUUGAAGAAAAAUGAGAAAAUUGCCACCCUUAAGCAGCAACAUGCAACUGAGAAAGCAACAUUAGAGAAUAAGGUUGAUGUGAUGCAAAAAGAAGUAUAUGAACUUAAAUCGCUUGUUAAAAUAAUGCUGCAACAAAAAAGCUCAGGAGUGGACCUUGACAUGUUAGCUACUCAAUUAGGAAGCACUUUAGGGAAUCCGAACAAUGAUGCGCAUGAAGAGAAAAACUAUGUUGAAGGGGAAAUCGAACUUGAUUAAGGUCAACUUUUUAAAAGCAAAUGUUACAGAGUAAAAGUCAUGAACUCGUGGACAUGAUGACUAUUUGCUACUUAACUAUUUCAACUUUCUUUUAUUAUUAUAUUUUUUGCAAACUUAGAUGAUAUUGUGGAUCUUGCAACAAUUUUUAUAAGUUAAAUUUGAUGGGAAAUGUUCAAUUUUUUUUUCUUUAGUGACUUAAUUCAAAUAGUUUAGAUUAUUUAUUGGCAUUAAAUAAUUUAAAAAAAACUAAAAUUAAUGUCAUUCACGAGAAAACUAAAU